CUGAGCUUCAGGAAUUCACAGUUGCAGUCCAUUGGCAUCUUUCUGUCACAUGUGGUAAUAGAAAACUUGAAUCAGUGUCCUUGGGCAAAGUCACUUGAUAUUUUUCGUCUCAAAGGUUUCAGAAGACCUCAUCUUGAGACUGCAAAUCAUCUUCAGUUGAGCAAAUUUGUAUCUAUACUGGAGAAUUUGUAACUAUAUCCUAAAUCAUUUCUCUUGGGAAUUAUGAAUUUGUCACACUCACUGCCAGAUACCGACAAACCCACAAUUAUUGCUCCAUGUUCAGAAUUUCCUUUUAAAGAUUUUCUGCACUUGAUGUCUUGAUAGUAAGGCUCCAGAUUGCCAAACCUAGUGGCCUCUGUUUUUAUUCACCUGCUAUUACAUUCUGAACUGAGGGUCAUGGGGAAGAGUCCCAAGAUAAGAUGAACCAAUUGAAAUGUCUUAGUUCUGUAGGUACCUAUUGUUUACCUUCAGCCUAUACAGUUUCUCCCUGAAGAGUUUGAACAACUAUUAAAUAUCCAGGUGUUCCUUUCAGAGUGCAGACAAAGCUGUCAUCUGACAGAGAAGGCUUCCCCUGCCCCACAGAUUAGUUACCUUUCGUGCACGUGAUGUGAGUUCCCUGUGUUCGUGCAGAAUGGCAUCGCAAAGGGUAGCAGGCCUGUGUGGGGAAAAUCAACUUGGGCACUACUCCUGGGUUAUUAUUUUUUUUUAAUCUUCAACCAGAAAUCAUAGGUGUAGCAUUUGACCUAGUAUUUUAAGAUCCCCGUUUCUCCUUUAAAUAUUUAAUUGAAACUAUAAUACUGUAGAUUUUUUUAAAGGUAGAUCUGAAGAAAUAUUCUAGAGUUUCAAACCAUUGUUUUGUUUUUUAAGUCACAGUUGCCCAGAAAAAGAGGGGUUUAGAAUUUCUCGCUCUGCUGCUAUCAUAAGUAAAUUAUCAGGAAAUAAGUUAAUAAAUUGCAUUAACAGUCACCAUUUCUGUCCUAAUUCAUGAAAACAGUAACAGAAAUUUUACUUGGCUUCUGUCUGUCUAGCCUUUGAUCUUCAGCUCCUCAAAUCCCCCAAACCUUGUUGGAAGCGAUGUUCUCCAAAUGCCUCCUUUCGAUUUUCUUUGAAAUGAUUUCUGUUGUAUUUUUGCACAUAUGGGACUUAAAAAUAACUUAAUUUGUCUAAUUUGUCCAAGUCUAAAUUAUUUUUGAAAAUUCUAUUCAAACUUUUGGAGAUUAUGUAAGAUAAGUAUCAGAAUUUUUAUUAGCUCUGCUUAAC